GGAAGGGUACUCGAAGCGGCCUAACGAGGACUGGGUAAUCCCGGUCGGGCGCAAGCCCACGCAGGUUCGAAUCCUGCCCCUUCCG
rnacentral:tRNA from 1 species